rnacentral:rRNA from 1 species
UACGUAGGGGGCAAGCGUUGUCCGGAUUUAUUGGGCGUAAAGAGCGUGUAGGCGGCUUCACAGGUCCGCUGUGAAAACUCGAGGCUCAACCUCGAGCUGUCGGUGGAAACCGUGUGGCUAGAGUCCGGAAGAGGAGAGUGGAAUUUCCGGUGGAGCGGUGAAAUGCGUAGAGAUCGGAAAGAACACCAACGGCGAAAGCACUCUGCUGGGCCGACACUGACACUGAGAGACGAAAGCUAGGGGAGCGAAUGGG